rnacentral:rRNA from 1 species
AGAGUUUGAUCCUGGCUCAGAUUGAACGCUGGCGGCAUGCCUUACACAUGCAAGUCGAACGGCAGCACGGGAGCUUGCUCCUGGUGGCGAGUGGCGAACGGGUGAGUAAUAUAUCGGAACGUACCCUAGAGUGGGGGAUAACGCAGCGAAAGUUGCGCUAAUACCGCAUACGAUCUACGGAUGAAAGUGGGGGAUCGCAAGACCUCAUGCUCAUGGAGCGGCCGAUAUCUGAUUAGCUAGUUGGUAGGGUAAAAGACUACCAAGGCUUCGAUCAGUAGCAGGUCUGAGAGGACGACCAGCCACACUGGAACUGAGACACGGUCCAGGCUCCUACGGGAGGCAGCAGUGGGGAAUUUUGGACAAUGGGCGCAAGCCUGAUCCAGCAAUGCCGCGUGAGUGAAGAAGGCCUUCGGGUUGUAAAGCUCUUUUGUCAGGGAAGAAACGGUGGACUCUAAUACAGAUCACUAAUGACGGUACCUGAAGAAUAAGCACCGGCUAACUACGUGCCAGCAGCCGCGGUAAUACGUAGGGUGCAAGCGUUAAUCGGAAUUACUGGGCGUAAAGCGUGCGCAGGCGGUUGUGCAAGACAGAUGUGAAAUCCCCGGGCUCAACCUGGGAAUUGCAUUUGUGACUGCACGGCUAGAGUGUGUCAGAGGGGGGUAGAAUUCCACGUGUAGCAGUGAAAUGCGUAGAGAUGUGGAGGAAUACCGAUGGCGAAGGCAGCCCCCUGGGAUAACACUGACGCCCAUGCACGAAAGCGUGGGGAGCAAACAGGAUUAGAUACCCUGGUAGUCAACGCCCUAAACGAUGUCUACUAGUUGUUGGGUCUUAAUUGACUUAGUAACGCAGCUAACGCGUGAAGUAGACCGCCUGGGGAGUACGGUCGCAAGAUUAAAACUCAAAGGAAUUGACGGGGACCCGCACAAGCGGUGGAUGAUGUGGAUUAAUUCGAUGCAACGCGAAAAACCUUACCUACCCUUGACAUGUACGGAAUCCCUGAGAGAUUAGGGAGUGCUCGAAAGAGAGCCGUAACACAGGUGCCGCAUGGCUGUCGUCAGCUCGUGUCGUGAGAUGUUGGGUUAAGUCCCGCAACGAGCGCAACCCUUGUCAUUAGUUGCUACGAAAGGGCACUCUAAUGAGACUGCCGGUGACAAACCGGAGGAAGGUGGGGAUGACGUCAAGUCCUCAUGGCCCUUAUGGGUAGGGCUUCACACGUCAUACAAUGGUACAUACAGAGGGCCGCCAACCCGCGAGGGGGAGCUAAUCCCAGAAAGUGUAUCGUAGUCCGGAUUGUAGUCUGCAACUCGACUACAUGAAGUUGGAAUCGCUAGUAAUCGCGGAUCAGCAUGUCGCGGUGAAUACGUUCCCGGGUCUUGUACACACCGCCCGUCACACCAUGGGAGCGGGUUUCACCAGAAGUAGGUAGCCUAACCGUAAGGAGGGCGCUUACCACGGUGGGAUUCGUGACUGGGGUGAAGUCGUAACAAGGUA